rnacentral:tRNA from 1 species
UUAAUUGAAACCAAAAAGAGGUAAAUUAUUGUUAAUAAUUAAAUUGAAUGAAGUUAUUCCAAUUAAA